UAAAAUAAAGCCACAAGAUGAAGAGCUUCUCCAAGAAGCUCACGGCUAAGCUCCAUGGAAAACCAAAUCCAAUUCAAGCCUUCCAAAAAAUAAUUCCUUGGUGUAAACCCACUAUAUUAAGGUCCCUAAGUAACGUGGAAGCAUCGUUGGAGCGAUCAAGUCAUUCAUUUAAGAGAUUGCAAACCCUAACCCAUUGUGGGAUUGAAGAAGAAAGACCUUGGGGAGCCCGAGGCGUAGAUUGGGAUUUACUUAGAUUGGCUAUCUUGGAGUGCGUUCGAGGUACAGACGCACAGUUCGGUGAUCCCCCAGUUUAGGAUAACCUCUCCUGCUGUUUGGAGUGCUCUUCUCAUUUCAGAGCAUACACUUUUGGUAUAUAUAUUUUGUUCGCUAUGUAUGCAUAUGUUUGUUCAGGGGUACGGCG